GAGAUCUGGGGCUCUAAUUGCUUCAUGGUUUCUGUUCUACCUUCAGUCCACUUCCUGAGCUGCCUAGUACGUCCAGCUCUCAAGACUUGUGUGUAAUCAAAUGCUUCUCAGCUUCUCUGCCCUCUUGGGACCCAUCACUCUGGGAUCUGGCACAUCAGUUACCUUUCAUUAAUCUUCUCAACUUUCAAAUGUUGAGGCUGUCAUGCCUUUCCUCAUUCUUUGUCCUUAUUAUUUGAUGUCCUGGGGGCAAAAAUUCUUUACCAUGUUUUCAUGGGGUUUCAGAAAAGUAUAAAAACAAAUGAGUAUUCUUCAGUCACUCAGUCACCUUUACUCCACAGUUAGCUUAUUUCAUAUGUGUGUUGUUUCAGUUUGUUCAGGCUGCUAUAACAAAAAUAUCAUAGACUGAAUGGCUUAACAGCCAACAUUUAUUUCUCACAGUUCUGGAGGCCAGGAAAUUCAAUAACAAGGUGCUGGCAGGUUUGGGGACACUAAUCCUGUUCAUGAGGGCUCAUGAUCUAAUCACCUUCCAAAGGCUGUACCUCCUAAUACCAUCAUGUUUAGGGUUAGGAUUUAAAAAUAUGAAUUUUGGGGAGACACAAACAUUCAGUCCAUACCAUGGGUUUACAUUUAUAAUCUUUCCAAUCUAAUCACUUACUACACUGCCUUUUUAAAAAAAAAAUUAUUACUCAUUUUACAGAGAGGAAGGGAGAGGGAUCGAUCAGCUGCCUUCUGCAUGCCCCCUACUGGGGAUCCAGCUCGCAACCAAGGUACAUACCCUUGACCAGAAUCAAACCCGAGACCCUUCAGUCCUCAGGCCGACGCUCUAUCUACUGAGCCAAACUGGUUAGGGUUACUAUACUACUUUUUAAGUUGAUCUUUAAAAGAAUUAUUAACAGUGACUGUUAUAAUUUAGAAUUCAUACCUCUAGCAAUAAUUUCAAAUCUAUAUAAAAUAUUUUUGCCUGUUUUUUUUAGCUGACUUUAACAAGUAUUUGAACUCGCACUUAUUGAGGCUGAAUCUGGAUAAUUGAAUAGGCCUUUCAUAACAGGAGAGAUGAAGUACAGGUUCAAAUAUAAGGGUAAAAGCCUUUGGAGAACGAAAGCCACAUCUCUUGUGGAGGGAAACCAAGCUUUUCCUGGGAUGAGUGAUCAAAAAAUGGAAGGACUCCAAGUCCUGGCUUCUUUUGCUUUGCUGGCCAGAAACCAAAUAUUUCUAAAGAGGCAGGCUUGGCAUUAUCUACUUUCAUAGAACCACCUGGAUACAGUCAAGGUGGGGAUGAGAGGAAUGGAGGUUAAGACACAGAGGGAUGACCAUGUGCAGACAUCAGAGGAAGACAGCCAUCUACAAUCCAAGGAGAGAGGCCUUUAGAAGACACCACCCCUGACACCACCUCAAUCUUAAACUCCUAGUCUGGAGAACUGUGAGGAAAUAAAUUCCUGUUGUUUAAGCCCUCUAGUCAGUGGUACUUUGUUAUGGCAGCUCUAGCAAACAAAUGUACCUUACAGUGGCCUGAGCAUCAAAAGUUUACUCAAACCCCUGUCACCAUUUCCUCCUGGCAUCUCCACUCGGCAUUCUGUGGCUGUGGCUGUUUCACUGGAGUUAAGCAGCACUAUGGAAUGUGAACCCACAUGUGUCCACCUUGGAAAGGCUCUGGGGAGGCUAAGUCUAGGAAAAUGAAUCAAAGUACGUG